rnacentral:rRNA from 1 species
GGUAACGAACGCAACCUUCGUUGCCUGUUACACGUAUCAGGCGAGACUGCCCCCUCACGGGGGAGGAAGGUGGAGAUGACGCCAAGUCAGCAUGUCCCUCUGAUGUCCUGGGCUGCACACGCGCUACAAUCGCCGUUACAACGAGGCGCAAUGGGGUAACCCGGAGCAAAUCUUUCAAAAGCGGCGCCAGUUCGGAUUGAGGUCUGCAACCCGACCUCAUGAAGCCGGAAUCACUAGUAAUCGCGGGUCAGCCACACCGCGGUGAAUACGUUCUCAAGCUUUGUACUCACAAUAAAAGCGCACAGCAGUGCGCGCAUCUAUGCGGUUAAAAUCCGCACCUCUCUAUACCCGUAGAGAGCGUAGCCGAAAGAUAGCCGGUACCCGCGAGGGUGUCGGUGGAGGAUCCGGAGGCAAAGAACAGCCAAU